AUGUGUAGGAUAGGUGGGAGGCUUUGAAGCGUGGACGCCAGUCUGCGUGGAGCCGACCUUGAAAUACCACCCUUUAAUGUUUGAUGUUCUAACGUGGAUCCGUAAUCCGGGUUGCGGACAGUGUCUGGUGGGUAGUUUGACUGGGGCGGUCUCCUCCUAAAGAGUAACGGAGGAGCACGAAGGUUGGCUAAUCCUGGUCGGACAUCAGGAGGUUAGUGCAAUGGCAUAAGCCAGCUUGACUGCGAGCGUGACGGCGCGAGCAGGUGCGAAAGCAGGUCAUAGUGAUCCGGUGGUUCUGAAUGGAAGGGCCAUCGCUCAACGGAUAAAAGGUACUCCGGGGAUAACAGGCUGAUACCGCCCAAGAGUUCAUAUCGACGGCGGUGUUUGGCACCUCGAUGUCGGCUCAUCACAUCCUGGGGCUGAAGUAGGUCCCAAGGGUAUGGCUGUUCGCCAUUUAAAGUGGUACGCGAGCUGGGUUUAGAACGUCGUGAGACAGUUCGGUCCCUAUCUGCCGUGGGCGCUGGAGAACUGAGGGGGGCUGCUCCUAGUACGAGAGGACCGGAGUGGACGCAUCACUGGUGUUCGGGUUGUCAUGCCAAUGGCACUGCCCGGUAGCUAAAUGCGGAAGAGAUAAGUGCUGAAAGCAUCUAAGCACGAAACUUGCCCCGA
rnacentral:rRNA from 2 species